AAGGUAAAUAGGAACUGUGUGAUUAAGUGAAUGGAUGAAAAGACAGCCUUACUGGAUAUUUUGGGAGAUGGUGGACGAAUCGGGUGCAUAGAAAAUCCUACCGUGAACGUUGCCUCAUACCGGAGGGGGUAUCGAGAUUUUAUAAUUUGACGUUUAUACCGGACGGGGUAUGGAGUCGAGCCAUUUCACUCUCAUAUAAGACGAGGUAUUGAAGUUUUGUAAUUUGGUACUCAUACCGGAUGAGGUAUAGAGACGGCUCAUUAAUUGAAAAUGUUAAAGAAAAGAGGUUCACGCAUUGUAGGGACAUCCUUAUGAACCCUCAUGGAUACCAGUAGGCUGAUAAAAAAGAAAAAUUUUUGUUUUGGUUAAUUGAAUAUGAGA
rnacentral:lncRNA from 1 species